rnacentral:rRNA from 1 species
UAGGGAAUCUUCCACAAUGGACGCAAGUCUGAUGGAGCAACGCCGCGUGAGUGAAGAAGGCUUUCGGGUCGUAAAACUCUGUUAUUGAAGAAGAACGUGUGUGACAGUAACUGGUCAUGCAGUGACGGUAUUCAAUCAGAAAGUCACGGCUAACUACGUGCCAGCAGCCGCGGUAAUACGUAGGUGGCAAGCGUUGUCCGGAUUUAUUGGGCGUAAAGCGAGUGCAGGCGGUCUUUUAAGUCUGAUGUGAAAGCCUUCGGCUUAACCGAAGAAGGGCAUCGGAAACUGGGAGACUUGAGUGCAGAAGAGGAGAGUGGAACUCCAUGUGUAGCGGUGAAAUGCGUAGAUAUAUGGAAGAACACCAGUGGCGAAGGCGGCUCUCUGGUCUGUAACUGACGCUGAGGCUCGAAAGCGUGGGUAGCAAACAGGAUUAGAUACCCUGGUAGUCCACGCCGUAACGAUGAAUACUAAGUGUUGGAGGGUUUCCGCCCUUCAGUGCUGCAGCUAACGCAUUAAGUAUUCCGCCUGGGGAGUACGACCGCAAGGUUGAAAC